CUUGGCAUUUGUCAUCACGGACAAGAUUCUCCAGCUGAAGGAGUUUGCCAUGAACAAAACAGGUGCCUUCUGCAGUGAACACAUUCUAGGGAACUUACCUAUGAUUCUGGAACUAUCUACACUCAUAGCACGUGGCAUGGCAGUCUUUCAUUGGAAGAACAAGAAAUGGGACAAAUCAUCUGGUAUUGGCUCUAAGGAAAUUCAGUGUCUAUGGAGGCCAGAAGAGCGUGUCAGAUUUCCUAAGACUGGUUAUAGAUGGCUGUGAUCUGCCAUGUCAGUGCUGACAAUGAAAUCUUGAUUCUAUGGAAGAACAUCCAGUGAUCUUAACCACCAAGCUAUCUUUCCAAGCCCAGAAACAUAAGUUUUGUUGAUAUAUGUAAUAAAUGUUAAGGUUUUUUUU